UCGACGAGUUUGAUCCUGGCUCAGAACUAACGCUGGCGGCGCGUCUUAAACAUGCAAGUCGAACGGAAAGGCCCUUCGGGGUACUCGAGUGGCGAACGGGUGAGUAACACGUAGGUAAUCUACCCUCGGGUGGGGGAUAACCCUUCGAAAGGAGAGCUAAUACCGCAUAACACUACGGAGUCCACGGGCUCCAUAGUCAAAGCAGUAAUGCGCCUGAGGAUGAGCCUGCGUCCGAUUAGCUUGUUGGCGGGGUAACGGCCCACCAAGGCUCCGAUCGGUAGCCGGCCUGAGAGGGUGAACGGCCACACUGGAACUGGGACACGGUCCAGACUCCUACGGGAGGCAGCAGUUAAGAAUCUUGCGCAAUGGGGGAAACCCUGACGCAGCGACGCCGCGUGUGCUAGAAGGCUUUCGGGUUGUAAAGCACAGUAAACAGGGAAGAAGAAAGUGACGGUACCUGUCCAAAGCACCGGCUAACUACGUG
rnacentral:rRNA from 1 species